CUCCGGGAAACCGGAGCUAAUACCGGAUAGUUCCUUGAACCGCAUGGUUCAAGGAUGAAAGACGGUUUCGGCUGUCACUUACAGAUGGACCCGCGGCGCAUUAGCUAGUUGGUGAGGUAACGGCUCACCAAGGCGACGAUGCGUAGCCGACCUGAGAGGGUGAUCGGCCACACUGGGACUGAGACACGGCCCAGACUCCUACGGGAGGCAGCAGUAGGGAAUCUUCCGCAAUGGACGAAAGUCUGACGGAGCAACGCCGCGUGAGUGAUGAAGGUUUUCGGAUCGUAAAGCUCUGUUGUUAGGGAAGAACAAGUGCAAGAGUAACUGCUUGCACCUUGACGGUACCUAACCAGAAAGCCACGGCUAACUACGUGCCAGCAGCCGCGGUAAUACGUAGGUGGCAAGCGUUGUCCGGAAUUAUUGGGCGUAAAGGGCUCGCAGGCGGUUUCUUAAGUCUGAUGUGAAAGCCCCCGGCUCAACCGGGGAGGGUCAUUGGAAACUGGAAACUUGAGUGCAGAAGAGGAGAGUGGAAUUCCACGUGUAGCGGUGAAAUGCGUAGAGAUGUGGAGGAACACCAGUGGCGAAGGCGACUCUCUGGUCUGUAACUGACGCUGAGGAGCGAAAGCGUGGGGAGCGAACAGGAUUAGAUACCCUGGUAGUCCACGCCGUAAACGAUGAGUGCUAAGUGUUAGGGGGUUUCCGCCCCUUAGUGCUGCAGCUAACGCAUUAAGCACUCCGCCUGGGGAGUACGGUCGCAAGACUGAAACUCAAAGGAAUUGACGGGGGCCCGCACAAGCGGUGGAGCAUGUGGUUUAAUUCGAAGCAACGCGAAGAACCUUACCAGGUCUUGACAUCCUCUGACAACCCUAGAGAUAGGGCUUUCCCUUCGGGGACAGAGUGACAGGUGGUGCAUGGUUGUCGUCAGCUCGUGUCGUGAGAUGUUGGGUUAAGUCCCGCAACGAGCGCAACCCUUGAUCUUAGUUGCCAGCAUUCAGUUGGGCACUCUAAGGUGACUGCCGGUGACAAACCGGAGGAAGGUGGGGAUGACGUCAAAUCAUCAUGCCCCUUAUGACCUGGGCUACACACGUGCUACAAUGGACAGAACAAAGGGCUGCGAGACCGCAAGGUUUAGCCAAUCCCACAAAUCUGUUCUCAGUUCGGAUCGCAGUCUGCAACUCGACUGCGUGAAGCUGGAAUCGCUAGUAAUCGCGGAUCAGCAUGCCG
rnacentral:rRNA from 1 species